CAGUGAAACCAAUCGAGUGAGCAAUCGCGACCAGAGAUCCUAUAGGUACUUUUACUGUCUAACCAAGUAUUUACGAGUCCCAGAGGGAGAGCUCGUAAUGCUUGUCUACGGAAUCGUGCACGGUAAAAGGUGAAAGGUGAAAGUCGCAUCAGGCGAAAUCAUCUCCGCUUAAAUCUUAAGAUCUUAAGACGUAUAUCCCAAUUCGAUAAGGGUGAGUGGAUGCUGACUAAAAUCCAAAGGAGAUGGGUGCACGCGCUUAUAUGAGAAAGGUGAGAGUGAAUACCUGAGAGCAUCUUCAUUCAAGCUUUAUAUAGCGUGUCAACCUAACCGCAGUAAAAGUAUGGCUGGACCAAUCGACAGUAGUAUUACAUUAUUAAUAGUUAAUUACACGGAGUGAUGUCCUUCAAAAAAAUGUCAAGAUUAUUUAAAACCUUUCCUUUCAUAAGAGUUUCAAUGAUAUCGACCUUUUUCAUUAGAGAGGAUACAGCAUCGCGGUUGUAGGUCCAUUCAGGUAUUGCCAACAGAUGCUGACAUGGCACAAUAAACCACUUGAAACUGAUAAUGAAAUUUUCGUUACUGACAAUUACUUUUAUUCGCAACAGUGUCGUUAUGAUUAUAACCGUAAUGUGCAAUCGGUAAUCAGUAAAAGUAUAUACCGUUUAAAGAACGUAAAGAGUAGAGUAUGUUUUUUAUUAAAAAUCGUCCUUUCUAUUCCUUUAUUUGAUUCGUCGAUAUAAGUUUCGGCCACGUAACGUUUAAUUGUUUUUCUAAUAUUUUAUGGCUGUAUCAAUCACGUACUAUCUGUGUUUCGCAGCUUUCUCGAAGAUAUUUGAAGAAUCGAUCUUUCGUCGUUACUCGCGCGAGAUGAAUAGGUACAGGCACGUACACACAAUAGUUUGCAUUACGUGCAUCAGCGCAUAGAAAGUACAAAGGCACGCAAACAGAAGAGUAACGUAGUUUUACCUUACGUAGUCCCUUCCUAGUUUUCAAUCCGAAAAUGGAUAAGUAAAUUGGUGAUUUUAAUAUUAAUUAGUUUUAUGUAAACGACAGGAAAUAAAUGAUAGUCUUCAUUCAAGUAUCUUUAUGAAAACACGAGCCGUAUAGUGAAUAUUGCGUGAUGUUUUUCACCCUCGUAAUAAAAGAAUCAUCAAUUGUUAAAUA